UUAUGCUCUUUGAAACCGCUCGUUUGGAUUAAGGAGCUUUUAUCAGGAUGUACGACUGAACACUUUCAUAAUUUUGACAUUUUAUUCAUGCGAGAAGAGAAGAGAGAGCAUCUGUUACUGCAUAUUUAUGGGGUUUGGGAUGUAGUUUUUGACAUUUUGCCUGAUCUGUGUUUGUACAAUGCACGCUGACAUUUUAAUGAUCCUUCUUUUUAAUCUUAAGACUGUAUCCUGGUUGAUUCCUCACCUUGAGCUGAUGAUUUAACAAGAUUAUUAACACAUUUUUCCAUAUUGUGCAUCAGGAUUAUAUUUUUGUGUGUUUUUCCUGACCUUUUUCAAUCCCUAGGUACUAAAAACUAUUUACUUCACCUUUACUGCUCUCUUUAAAAAGCACAAGCUACUGUUAAGGUCUAAAUAUAUGACGUUGUUUCAAAAUUUUGGCUGAUUUCCAACUUGACAAAUAUAUGUGAGCCAUGUCAAAUGGUGAAUGAUCAUUCUUGAUUAAAUGGCUUUUCAUGGGCACUUUAUAAUCAGACCUAGACACAAUUUCAACUAAUCAACGUCUUAAUUUUUAAACAGACUCUGAGAAGAAUGAAGGAACAUAAAGGUCGGUCUCUAAAAGCAAAGAAAUAAAAGAAAAAGAUGCCAAUUACAGGAGCAGCCCACUUUUUCAAAACCAUUCUUAUUAGCCUUCCAGCUGAUUUGACAUAAAAACAAGUUUUCCAGGAACAACAAUUUUGUUUUUAGAGGAAAAAAACUCAAAGUCAAUGUUUUAUCCCUGCAGUGAUAAAUUUCAUUGGUGGUGAAAAACAUGCCUGCAACAACUGAGGAACUGAGGAAUAUUUAAAAGUAUAUUAGUGGGAUGAAAACAUUGUAGGUAUCUCAAAUUAUCCCAUUAUUUGAGACUAAUUGAUAAAAAAGUCUUCUUUGUCAGAAAGAUGAUCCAGAGGACUAAAUGCAUUGGAUGAUUCAGCAAAGUUUCGCAUGUUAAUUUCUGUUAUGCCAUGGUCUGGGUUAAUACUGGAUUCUGAUUGGCUGCUGGGUGUGGAUUCAAAAGGGAUAAUCACAGUGAUAAUGAGAGUGAUAAAAAAUAAGUUCCAGUCAAAUAGCCCAAAUGUUCUAUAUCACUGCUCUGGCUUCUUUAAACCAAACUUUUGCUUCAUCAUCUGGACAAAAACAAGCAUUAAGAGGUGAACUUUCUCUCUUCCACGGCAUCUGUGGAUUUCUGAUAAUGCACACGUUGUCGGGCAUUAUCCCUUACAUAAAGGACACUUCGAAGGGCAUUAUCACGCAUAUACCAUGGUAAACUUGUCAUUUUUUAGGCUUGAAUUGUAUUUUACAAUACGUUGUCAUGGGAACAGCUGCACCAAUCUCUUUCUGGAGCUGUAAAGGACAGUGGCAUAUAAAUAUCAUAAUAAAAAAACACAAUUUCAGAGGAUAAGUGCAUUUGUUUUUUGCCCAGAACAUUAAGCAAACGUUUGUUUCAAAUAAACAAAAUCUAAAUAGUUUAUUUCUUCCAGCGUCACCUCCUCCUGUUUCAUCUCCUCCUUCUUGGAUUCUCUUUCUCUUCUCCUGUACGGCGAUCUUCAGAAUGAUUCAAUUCACCAAACAGAUUCCACUUUAGCCCAAUGACUGAGACAUCGAUUCAAACGGACACUGUGAACGCUGGCCAUGCUUUUUUGACUGGAUGAGCGUGCACGUGUGCGUGGUAAAGACUAAGACCGCUGCUGUGAUUCCACAAUGAUUUAGAGCGGGCCAAACGGCCUUGCUAGUGGUUGCUGACGAUGCAGCAGCAGCAGGGAACCAGUGUCACAGAAUAGACAAGCUGCAAUAAAGUAUCUGUGUUGAAACUCUUUAUCGUUCUCCACGGAGGAGAGACGGAUACGCUUUGAGAAGCUAAAAAGGAACAGGCUAGUCACCAGUGCAUAUUAAACAACCUCUGCAUGUAUGGAGCUCCAGUGGUAAUCUUUUGAAAAUAAAAAGAAAGUUGUGUGUUCUUUG